CCGGCGAGGGGAGUGAAAAAGAACCUGAAACCGUGUACGUACAAGCAGUGGGAGCACCCUUCGGGGUGUGACUGCGUACCUUUUGUAUAAUGGGUCAGCGACUUAUAUUCUGUAGCAAGGUUAACCGAAUAGGGGAGCCGGAGGGAAACCGAGUCUUAACCGGGCGUUAAGUUGCAGGGUAUAGACCCGAAACCCGGUGAUCUAGCCAUGGGCAGGUUGAAGGUUGGGUAACACUAACUGGAGGACCGAACCGAC
rnacentral:rRNA from 1 species